AUUUAGUUCUGAGGCAGAGAAAAUGGGAAAAUCUGAAACAUUUCAUGUAACUGAAAAGGUCUUCAAUAUACAGAAAACAAGAGUAAGUUUUGAGGACCCUCUUGUCUAAGCUAUGUACUUCAGGGGCUGAUGCGAAAUUCAGUGUAGCAGAGAGUAUUGUGUGACUGUUGGUGGUGAGGAAGAAUUGAAGACCAUGGAAAACCCAAAUCAUGGUACCCUUUUAAAAGCAGUUCAGAGCCCUGACAGAUACGUGUUGGAAGAUCCUCAUAAUGGAGUAUUGAAUUUUACCAGACAACUUUUUUUUUUUUUUUCCUCAUCUGUAUUUCUGUUUUUCUCUCUGCUACCUUCUCUUUUUCAACAUUCACUUUUUUUGGGUAUGUGUUUUCAUCUUAGUUUGGUGUGUGCUGAAUGCAAUAACUAAAGUUCUGCUAAGGGUGAAGGCAUGAGGUCUGCACAGUACUGAGUUGCUUAGAAUCAGAUUUUAUGGAGCUGAAUGUCUCCAGAUGUAGCUUUACAGUGUUUGAGUUCAGCAAACACAAUCAGACAGGCUGUCUGGAUAUGAUAUCAAAAGAAGAAGGAACAUAGUUUUCAGGGUACAGCCCAGGACUUGAAGACAGCAUCAUAAACCAGCACUUCUGAGAUGCCCUAAGGGUCUUUGGAAGGGAGGAUUCCUAGAGGUGAAUAAUUCCCAGCUGUAAUCUACCGACAUAUGCCUCCAUAUCAAAGACCUGCUCUAAAUACAGAGCCAGAUAUGUCAGAGAAAAGGAUGAGACAGCAGGUGUUGACUUCUCUUGCUUUCUGAACCGCUCUUGCUCCUGUGUUCAUCAGGUAGAAGCAAACCUCAUAGAUACAGAUGGAAAAAACACCUGUCAGCUUCUCUGCAAGCAUAUUCCAUUUUUUUUUUGCCCACUGCUAUCUGUUGAAAGGGAUUUUCUCCUUUUCUGGAAUAAGUGAUCCCGUCCAGAGGAUGCAAGAAGCAUUUAAGGGUAUAUGCUCCUGUUAUUUCCUGCCAAUCUAUUUUAAUAGCUUUCCGGGGCUACAAAUGAAGAAGACAUGUCUUUUGUCACCCAUGAUUGUAUGUAACUGUGCACUGGCAUCAGGCAGCAACAAGAAAAGAGAAAAAAUAACCUGCAGAAUUGAACAGAAAAUAUGUGGGAUACAUCACCAAGUCCCACUGGAGAAAAACACUAGCAAAACACCUGCUGCAGCAGAAGUCUUUGUUAACUCCCCAAUGUCUGUGGCUAAGAAGAAGCACACAGGUGGCUCUUGA
rnacentral:lncRNA from 1 species